GUCAAACUUUGGUUACGAGAAACUAUUAGCAAUCUUGCGCGCCAGCAGCAUUAUUUGUGGUGAAAUACUCUAAUAAAUACCACUUCUUGUGCGCUUUCAUGACGAAACAUUCCUGCUAAACAGGGAUUAGAGACCCCUUUAUACAAAUGCUCAUUAAGAAUUGCGGGGUACUACAACCAUCGGGGUUAAAACUUAAGCUACAUGGCGGUAACUUCAAUUUAGGGGAACUUACUUAAUAAUUGAUAACCACCAAGGUCAAUCAACUUUAACAAAUUCUUGUAUGCCGUCGUCGUCAGAUAGCACUUAAUGUUCUAUCAUAAAAGCUAUACCUAAAAAGACAGAUCAAGGUGCAGAAAAUGCUAAAGAUCUAGCGAGUUACAAUUUUGAAUAUUAACGGACAGACUUAUGUAAGUAAUAUCGAAGACGGACUUAGCAAUAAUAAAUAUAACUAACAAUCCUAUGAAAAUUUUG
rnacentral:rRNA from 1 species